rfam:Pan troglodytes isolate Yerkes chimp pedigree #C0471 (Clint) chromosome 7, whole genome shotgun sequence.
GCUGGGCGUGGUGGCGCACGCCUGUAGUCCCAGCUACUCAGGAGGCUGAGGCAGAAGAAUUGCUUGAACCCGGGAGGCGGAGGUUGCAGUAAGUUGAGAUCGCACGACUGCACUCCAGCCUGGGUGACAGAGUGAGAGUCUGUCUCAA